rnacentral:rRNA from 1 species
CCUACGGGGGGCUGCAGUGGGGAAUAUUGCGCAAUGGGGGCAACCCUGACGCAGCCAUGCCGCGUGAAUGAAGAAGGCCUUCGGGUUGUAAAGUUCUUUCGGUGACGAGGAAGGCGUGGUGUUUAAUAGACAUCACGAUUGACGUUAAUCACAGAAGAAGCACCGGCUAACUCCGUGCCAGCAGCCGCGGUAAUACGGAGGGUGCGAGCGUUAAUCGGAAUAACUGGGCGUAAAGGGCACGCAGGCGGCUAUUUAAGUGAGGUGUGAAAUCCCCGGGCUUAACCUGGGAAUUGCAUUUCAGACUGGGUAGCUAGAGUACUUUAGGGAGGGGUAGAAUUCCACGUGUAGCGGUGAAAUGCGUAGAGAUGUGGAGGAAUACCGAAGGCGAAGGCAGCCCCUUGGGAAUGUACUGACGCUCAUGUGCGAAAGCGUGGGGAGCAAACAGGAUUAGAUACCCGUGUAGUC